CAGAGAACAUUCUUACAACCAGUCUUGUCGUGUUCCACCCGUUGGCCACAAGUUGGACAGGCGCGAAUGGAGGGGCAGUCGGUGACACCUGCCACCUGAGGGAGAGACGUGGUUUCGCAGUUCUUCAGCAGUUCCAGGUCCUGGUUGAUACAGCCAUCGUUGUCACAGCGGUCAGAGUGUGGCCCGGGACCUUUCCACUGCUUCAGGCACUGCCAGCAGAACUCAUACCUCUGACCUUUGUCUGCAGUGCACACUGUGCAGAAGACACAGCAUUCAAGGCAGCCAUGGUCGUCUCGAAGUCAUCAUCAAAUCAUCUCCUCAGUGGUCAGAACAGCCAGCCUACGUACCUCCUGGUAAGACCACUCAGCACCACACUUCACAAAGGUGCCAUCCUCAAGUGCAGGGCACAAAAACUUGAACUGACUCUGGGAGGACAAAGAAGAAAAGUUGUCAAGGUACAGAUUGUCCUUAGGUACAGUACAAAGAUCAUCAGCGUAUCGUAUCGCCUCAUAUCAUAUUGUAGCAUACCCUCACCAGUAUUUUCCUCUGCCAAGACAGGAGUCACAAAGGCCUUGUUCAGUAAUAUUGGGUUGUUUUAUUUUGUAUUAUAAUUUUGUUAAUUUUUUUUAUUUCAGCCCCCUACUUCCCGCGGCUAUACUGUCUGCCUGUCUGUGCAUGCUGGGUGUGUGUGAACGUGUUAUCAUUUGGUAUUCUAAAACUAUCUUUUAUUGUGUUACUUCAUGGAGUGUUCUUUUUUUUUUCACGUUUCUACUGGCCGUGGCUAGACCUAUUUGAUUUGCAUUACCAUGUGUUGUCUAGGUCUUGUAAUGUUGUGUUCAUAUAAUGACAUAUUUAAUAGAAUAUCUGUGGUUGUAUUGCUGUGGGUUGUCAUGUGGUUGUGUUGUAUAGCUGGGAUGGACUGCUCCCCCCGGGGUCAGAUAGCAGUAAGGUGUAUUAUGAGAGAAUCUGUGCAUAUCUGGUGUGUGUUUGUAGAAAGUUUAGUGUGUAUGUAUUGUCUGUACUUAUGUAGCUGAGGGAGCAUUGAGAAGUGGAUCGCUGUCCACUUCUCAUGACAACCCCUCCCCCUUCUUCUGUACAGGCAGGUACUGUUAUUCUUUAUGAAUAUCCCACACUUAUCCUUAUCUGAAAAGAAAACAACAUUUAUCUCAUUGCUUUCUAAAGCUGUCCACUUCCUUUACCUCUGUUUGACUUGUGUUCUUCGUCUCUUAGUGGUUUAGGGUGUCAUGAUCUUCACCGCCACAAGGGGGAGUGCCAGACUGACCCUCACCUGGAUGGAUGCCAUAUUUACAAACCUCUAAAGAACGUCUCCCUCUCUGUCAAUGACUCUGUGGUGGGGUGUAGUUACAGACACAGGUGUACUGGGCUGAACAGUUACCAGGUACAGCUGUCUGGCUCAGAUUGGAUGGACUGCCCAGCUGGAGGGGCCAUUGAGGUGACAGGAUACAAAGGUUUAGUGUUCUGUCCUGACAAGAGGUUGUGUUAUUACCCUGACAUUGAUCCCGCCAUCAACAACCUGGCAUCUCACUCUCCAGCUGCUUCCACGACAGGCCCAGUGACAUCUGAGAAAACUCGAACCCUGACACGGGCCUGACCUUUGACCCCAGCCCCUCCUUCUCCAGUGCCAGGGGUCAGUACAGACCUGUACUGUGGUUGCAGUCCUAGGGGUCAGUGCUGCUGUCUGUCUCCUGGCUGGCCUGAUGGUGGCCUACAGGGGGUACCACUCCUCCAGAGUCAGGGUUCAUGCUGAGGAAAGUGAAUCAAAUGACUGCUGAUGGAAACUGGGACCCUAUUAUGGCCGUGAGAGUUUAUAGCCAGAACUUCAUUUUAUUUUCAGUUGUUUGAGUGAAAAAAAAAGUAUAAUAUCAACUCAACUUUUUUUUGGCAGGGGAAGAGGAUAAACAAUAUAUAGAUUGUUGUUUUGUUUCUGUAAUUUUGUAUUAUUUUUAAAAGAUUAUCAACAGCUUUUCCAGUUUGUGCUUUGGCAGUGAGAUUACAGUACAAUACUGAAUACAGUGUUACAUACAAAUACAUCAUAAAUACAGGCAGUAAAGUAGUAGAGAUUCUCUCUCUUGCCUAUUAUUCAAUCCCUCCAUUCCCCAGGCAACCUCAUCACCAGCUGACUGACAGAGUGGUGCUGGGUCCCAUCACAGGAGAGCCGGCAUGAGUCUUCUAGCUUGGGACUGUGGCUUGUCUUUUGUCCUGCGUCCUGUUUUGUGCGUUUUUGUGUUUGAAUGUUGUAAACUCCCAAGUCUUACUAGUAAACAUAUACAUUUUAACUGUCUGUGUGGUGGCCUGGGAUCCUUAGAACCUGUUUUUGACAAUUUCUCAGCAAAUGUAUUUUUCAGCUGCAGUACUGUUGUACUGUUCAUCUGCUCUACUAUAUAGAUCACGUUGAUAACAAUUUUCUCUUUUAUCUGCACUCAUGGCAUGACAAAAGAGGGCACGACAAAACCUAUUCCCCCUCAGGAGACUGAAAAUAUAUGGCAUGGGUCCUCAGAUCCUCAAAAGGUUCUACAGCUACACCAUCGAGAGCAUCCUGACGGGUUGCAUCACUGCCUGGUAUGGCAACUGCUCGGCCUCCGACCGCAAGGCACUACAGAGGGUAGUACGUAUG